rnacentral:rRNA from 1 species
GACGUAGGGUGCAAGCGUUGUCCGGAUUUAUUGGGCGUAAAGAGCUCGUAGGCGGCUUGUUGCGUCGACUGUGAAAACCCGCGGCUUAACCGCGGGCUUGCAGUUGAUACGGGCAGGCUAGAGUUCGGUAGGGGAGACUGGAAUUCCUGGUGUAGCGGUGAAAUGCGCAGAUAUCAGGAGGAACACCGGUGGCGAAGGCGGGUCUCUGGGCCGAUAUUGACGCUGAGGAGCGAAAGCGUGGGGAGCGAACAGG